CAUCUAGCCAAUCGGAAUGACCAGGGGACGGGAAUCAGUCCAAACCAAGUGAUCAUCCACGAGAGCCGUGCAGAGUCGCUGAGAUAAUAGGGCCUGCAGAUGCCGGAGAAUCCGAGAUAAUAAGGUCUAGAGCUGGAUGAACACAGCAGGCAAGUUGACGUUUCGGGUCUUAAAAAAAAAGACCCUUCGCUGAGACCAAGAUUUUUGCAACUGAGAUACCAGCGAUCGUUGCCAAAGCCCUGUUCCCUGUGGAGAAGGUGAUGUUUAACUUUCGUGUCAUGCUGCAGUUCGUAUGAUGAAGAUGCUCCCACAAUGUGGUCAUUUGAGAAGUUACAGAUCAGUCAUCUAGUGAUACUAAAGAGCUGAUGGUGACUGUGCGGUGGUCGCUGUUAUCAAUCCUGUCAUGGACAGAUGCCUCUGCAGCUGGGAAAUUGGUGACGAUGGGAUCAGCUAUGUUUCCCCGUUUGGUGCGUCACCACCUGCUGCCGUCCCCACCAGGCAGCUUUGUCCUUUAGGACCCGACCAGCCUGAUUGGUAAUCCUCCUGCAAACUACUCCUGAAGGAUAUUACAAGUGGACUUUCAGGUAGGAAACUCAAUAAUUGUAACACCAAACUCUGACAGAAUUACUCAAUUCAUCAGGACCUGGAUAUUCCCAUUGUGUAUUUCCACAACUUUACUUCUGCACUAUUAUUCUUCUUUGAAGGAUCGAAAGGUAGAGUUACAGAUCUAUACAAUGCCUGUCCUUCCUCCCUGGCUCUCCCACCCCUCUCUUUUGGUAGGUUUGUGCAAACAUUGACUGGAUCCUUUCCAUGGAGGAUAUCUAUGAAUUGAAUUUGUUCUAAUGAUAAUCCAGCAUAUUCCCCAAGUGUCGCUCCACGAAUGUCCAGAGAAUUUCUCAGUUUCACAGUCUGUGUGCUCGUCUGGUUUCUUACUCGCUGCACUUAGUUGCUGAUUGAAAGUAUAGUCUGCAGUUGGAGAAUUCAAGCAGCUCCACAUCCAGGUCUGACUGUCACUUUGUUUAUCACAACCCAAUUUUCUCAGGAUUUUGAACAUUGAAGGAAAAAGCAGCACUCACAUUGGGGAGAAAUACACAUUGUCUGUGUGUCAGAGUCUGUAAAGAUUCGUCUGAAAUGUCCUAACACCAGCGCAGUGACACUGGGGAGAGACUCUGGAAACAUGCAGAUUGCAGGAAGGAAUUUCUUCAUCCAUCCCAGCUAGAAACUGACCACCAGAGUCACACUGGAGAGAAAACAUUCACCCGCUCUGAUUAUGGAAUGUGAUUCACUGUCAUCAAACCUGCUUAAACACCAGGGAGUUCACACUAGAGAGAAACCAUGUACUUGCUUGGAAUGUGGGAAAGCAUUCACUCGGACACCUCAACUGCUGAUACAUCAGCGAAUCCACACUGGAGAGAGACCAUUGACCUGUUCUAUGUGGAAAAGGCUUUGCUGACUCGAAUUCCCUGCUGAUACACCAGCGACUUCACUCUGGGGAGAGACCAUUCAUGAGCUCCGAGUGUGGGAAGGGAUUCACUCUGUCAUCCAAACUGGUACCACACCAGCGAGUUCAGAGAACCACAGUUGAAGCACUUUGCUGUCACUCUCACUGUCAAAUGAACCAUGACUUUGGGCUGUUUGUACAGAUGUUACUGAUCCCUGCUCAAUUAAAGGUGCUGGUAUUGUGAAUAAAAUGUUUGUAACAGUUG